rnacentral:rRNA from 1 species
GGGGAAUCUUGGACAAUGGGCGCAAGCCUGAUCCAGCGACGCCGCGUGGGUGAUGAAGGCCUUCGGGUUGUAAAGCCCUUUUCCCAGGGACGAUGAUGACGGUACCUGGGGAAUAAGCACCGGCUAACUCCGUGCCAGCAGCCGCGGUAAGACGGAGGGUGCUAGCGUUGUUCGGAAUUACUGGGCGUAAAGGGCGCGUAGGCGGCUCAUUAAGUCGGGUGUGAAAGCCCAGGGCUCAACCCUGGAACUGCAUCCGAGACUGGUGGGCUCGAGACCGGGAGAGGAGAGUGGAAUACCCAGUGUAGAGGUGAAAUUCGUAGAUAUUGGGUGGAACACCGGUGGCGAAAGCGGCUCUCUGGCCCGGAUCUGACGCUGAGGCGCGAAAGCGUGGGGAGCAAAC